rnacentral:lncRNA from 1 species
AUGUCACAGGCAAGAAGUGACCAAACACGGAUAGCUUCUGACAUCUUCCUACCCAAGGGACCCUCUGGCCAUUCCCCUUUCUCUCCUCACCAGCAUCUGCAGGGAUUUCCCACCACUGGCAACAGAGAAGAUGUGUACCUUGGGCUCAUCGGAGUGAGGGGACCAGUGAAGGGGACGCAAGCCUGGAUCUCACAAUUCAGAUGUAACCUGUCCGAGCAACUCGGAGAACAUUGACUGCUAGUCCUCGGCCGUGCCUGAGGCAGAAAUCACUUUUUCGUCUUUUUGGAACAUUUCUUCUGUCAGUCAGUUCAUCUUACGUCUAUGACUUCUCAAAAAAAGGCAUCUACACUGGAGCUUUGUGAGGAUCUGAAGAAAAUAAGAGGAAAAUGGAAGAUUCUCUGAAAUUACUCUUUAUGGCUAGGGCAGGAUACCAGUAGCUGAAAUCCAGUCUGUUCUUACUAAGAUCUCAAGCUGACUGAAUAACUGAAUAAAUUAAUAAUCUAGAGUUUAAAUGAAGUGUUC